GGAAGCGUGGCGGAGAGGUAACGCGCCGCAUUGCUAAUGCGAGGCCCGGACGCCAGUCCGGCGGGGGUUCAACUCCCUCCGCUUCCGCCA
rnacentral:tRNA from 1 species